GAGAGAGAGCGAGAUGGACACGGAAAGAUAGUAAGUCUUCAGAGUUUGAUGAGACAAUGAUGACAGGUCUCGAAAGUAGUUGUUGAAUUCAAAGUCUUCUGUCUUUCAUUCAUUUGAAGUGAUCAUUUCUGUGUAUAUUUAUAAAUACAUAUAUUUUUGUGAUGCUUCUGUAUUCCUUCCUGUUUAUUUUGGCAUGAGUGUCAAACUGCAGGCCUCAAGGUCUGGAGUCUAUGGAGGACCUGCAGUGGGAGUAAAAAGGGUUUAAAAGGGUUAAAAAGGUUCACAGAUGGAGAACCAGGGAGUUUCCUUCUCAAGGUGGCUGGAUCUCCUUUGGAAAGAGGCAGCAAAAGUGGAGCCUCCGCUUCUCCACACCAUGAGCAAAUGUGGUGACAUUUGGAAAUUCCACCAGGAUGGUCCCCAGGAGAGCUUACAAGGAGCUCUGAGUCCAAGCGGGAGCGGCCAUCAGCUUGGAGGAGGCCCGGGACGGGACAGUCUGGUCAUCGUAAUCCCACAACAGGCAGGACACACCCAACAAGAAACCUUACUUCCAUCCGGAUAAACCGCCAUCAGGACUGACCAGCUGAACCUGAUUGGACCUCAUACAUGUUGUUCUUCGGCGAUCUUCUAACAUUUUCUCAUGAACAAUCUGAGGCCUGCAGCCGCUGAGAUGAAGCUCCGCUCCUGCUCCCGUCCAGAUGCUGCUGGAACGUCCGGAAGCGUCCACUCCACCUGCAGAAGGGAAUUCAGAGUUUGAGUUUAGACGAGCACUUCUCUCAGGUGUUUCUCUGACAGGUAAAGACUGAGCUGAUGGAAAGUUUUCAUGAGUCAGAACGGAAAAAUCAGCAGGGCCUGCGCUGCCAUCUGAGCUAAAACUGGUUUAGUUUUCUUACAGUAAGGAUCCCCUUCUGUGGAGGAUUCACCUGACUGAUAGCUCACAGCUGUGCUUUAAUUUCUAAUGUCUUUUGAGAGCUCCACUGUAAUUAGUAGAGGUUCCUCUGGUACACACGCUUUUAAAAAUGAAAGUUUUAAUGUUUAGUCUCUGGAUUGUCCCUUGUCUAUCUUUGGGGUGGCCCCUGAUGUGACUGCGGUCUGCUUCAGUGACGGCUGCUGUCGAGGAAGACAGAGCUGCAGUUGUCUCUUCUUCAAACAUGAAGGCAAGGAGGGAAACAUUUAGAGGAGAUUUUGUUCCUUUUAUAAUAAUAUUUGUAUAUUUUUUUUCAAAUUCUUGUCUUUCAAUUCAUUUGCUGAAACCAUCAGCUCUGAACAUCGCGUUCUCCGUGGGGCUCUCCUGCCCCCCCAUGGCUGUAAGUGGGAGUGAAGGACUUCCUGCAGAUAAUAAACCAGACAACCAAGUUCUGUUUUUUAUUUACUAUUUCUUUAUUUACUGUCAUUCACUUCUGUUGCCAUGACAGCAACUUCUCUGACUUGUUGUUUGCAGAAAGGGGCUGACGUUGGGAUGUUCA